UACGUAGGUGGCAAGCGUUGUCCGGAUUUACUGGGCGUAAAGAGCGCGCAGGCGGUCGGAUAAGUCGAAUGUGAAAGCCCCCGGCUCAACUGGGGAGGGUCAUUCGAUACUGUUCGACUCGAAGGCAGGAGAGGGAAGUGGAAUUCCCGGUGUAGUGGUGAAAUGCGUAGAUAUCGGGAGGAACACCAGUGGCGAAGGCGGUUGCCUGGAGCUUUGCUGACGCUGAUGCGCGAAAGCGUGGGGAGCGAUCCGG
rnacentral:rRNA from 1 species